CAGCGCCGCGGGAAUACAGAGGGUGCGAGCGUUAAUCGGAUUUACUGGGCGUAAAGCGUGCGUAGGCGGCUUCUUAAGUCGGAUGUGAAAUCCCUGAGCUUAACUUAGGAAUUGCAUUCGAUACUGGGAAGCUAGAGUAUGGGAGAGGAUGGUAGAAUUCCAGGUGUAGCGGUGAAAUGCGUAGAGAUCUGGAGGAAUACCGAUGGCGAAGGCAGCCAUCUGGCCUAAUACUGACGCUGAGGUACGAAAGCAUGGGGAGCAAACAGGAUUAGAUACCCGCGUAGUCCCUGUCUCUUAUACA
rnacentral:rRNA from 1 species